GCAGAACGCGAAGAACCUUACCCACCUUUGACAUGUACGGAAGUUGCCAGAGAUGGCUUUGUGCUCGAAAGAGAGCCGUAACACAGGUGCUGCAUGGCUGUCGUCAGCUCGUGUCGUGAGAUGUUGGGUUAAGUCCCGCAACGAGCGCAACCCUUGUCAUUAGUUGCUACGAAAGGGCACUCUAAUGAGACUGCCGGUGACAAACCGGAGGAAGGUGGGGAUGACGUCAAGUCCUCAUGGCCCUUAUAGGUGGGGCUACACACGUCAUACAAUGGCCGGUACAAAGGGCAGCCAACCCGCGAGGGGGAGCUAAUCCCAUAAAGCCGGUCGUAGUCCGGAUCGCAGUCUGCAACUCGACUGCGUGAAGUCGGAAUCGCUAGUAAUCGUGGAUCAGCAUGUCACGGUGAAUACGUUCCCGGGUCUUGUACACACCG
rnacentral:rRNA from 1 species